CCCUUAGAGUUUGAUCCUGGCUCAGAGCGAACGCUGGCGGCAGGCCUAACACAUGCAAGUCGAACGAACUCUUCGGAGUUAGUGGCGGACGGGUGAGUAACACGUGGGAACGUGCCUUUAGGUUCGGAAUAACUCAGGGAAACUUGUGCUAAUACCGAAUGUGCCCUUCGGGGGAAAGAUUUAUCGCCUUUAGAGCGGCCCGCGUCUGAUUAGCUAGUUGGUGAGGUAAAGGCUCACCAAGGCGACGAUCAGUAGCUGGUCUGAGAGGAUGAUCAGCCACAUUGGGACUGAGACACGGCCCAAACUCCUACGGGAGGCAGCAGUGGGGAAUCUUGCGCAAUGGGCGAAAGCCUGACGCAGCCAUGCCGCGUGAAUGAUGAAGGUCUUAGGAUUGUAAAAUUCUUUCAGUAGGGACGAUAAUGACGGUACCUACAGAAGAAGCCCCGGCUACUCU
rnacentral:rRNA from 1 species